GGGUCGGAGGUAUGACCCCCCACCCCUCUUAAAUUUCCAAUCCCCUGGAAAAAAUAAAUAUUUUACUCCCAUUUCUUUACAGCCACUAUCUUCAAUGUGCACUAAAACCCUUUGUUUCAUGGUUAUACGUUUUACUACUGUUUCAGCCCCUUAGCCUACCCCCCCAUCUACAUGCCUGCAAAUAACCAGUAAAUCAUAAUCUUUAUAUGCAGUUUCGAUGUCAGUCGUGUUGGGUUGUGUUGAGCGAAAUGAAAUCCGAGGAUGAUAAUUUGUUAGAGAAUCUAGAUAGACCUCUGACUUUUCGAGUGAAAUAUGUGAAGAUCUAAGUUGAAGUCAUCUAUCAAGUAACAAGGUUUCUUUUCUUUGUCUAACUGUUCAAGUAAAUUGGUAACUUGUAGCCGAUAUAUCACACCGCCAACAAUUAUGUUUGAACUAUUUCGAUAUGUAACUUUAAUGAAUAGAGUAUUGUAAAAUUUUCUUGAAAAAGUCUAACUUAAAAAAAUCCACAAAUCCGAGAAAAAAAAAUAGAUAAUUUUCACCUAAAGCACCCCCCCCCCCCCCCUUCCUCCUAUACACACACGUUGACUCCAAAAUCAAUAAGACUGUACCAAGAUAUUCUUCUCUCCGUUUUCGCGCCUGUGACCUCGGAGCCCUGGGGAUGUAAUGAGACUGUCGAACAUAAAAGUGAGUAAUUUUAUAUUCUGUGAAUCAAUCUUCUAUUAUGCUGUUGUCGUGCUGUUGAAAUGCAUAUACAGUGGAACCUGGAUUUUACAUGCCUCGGGAGAAAGAAAAUGUAUCGUAAAUUCGAGGUAUCGUUAGAAAGAGGUCCUCGAUUUUACGAUAUAAAGGAACCAUUGAAAAUGUUGUUGUAGCCAAGUCGGGUUAAUUAUCAACUUUUACAAAAUAAUAAUAUUGUAACAGUACUCAGGGCGUAAGACUGUACAGUUUCUCUUUGUAAACUGUAAUCUGCAUCUAACAAGAUCUGUCAAGUCAAGAAAAUCGAUUAACUGUACUGUACGUGUGUGGUGUUUUGAGUUUUUCUCUCUUUGUUGAUAGAAUCAGUAAUAUCGUUGUAUCGAGGUCAAAAUUACGCUCGUUGACCAAUGAAAAUACUCACUAUGUUUAUCACUAUGUUUAUCCCGAGGAGGGCCUGAGGUUAUUUGGCUAAAAUUAAUCGCCCCUUUUCAAGAAACGUAGUAUUCCAUGCCCCAAUCCCUCCCCCACGCUUUCUAUUAUUUCGGUGCCCCCCCCCCCCCCCCCGUAACGUUUCCGUUACACCCCCUUGACGCUUAGACGACCAACCCUAAGUUUGAUUGUCUUGCUAAUUGUUUUUUCGAGAUCUAUCCAAAUUCUAUAUCCAAAUUCAUGGUUAUUACAUUAAGCGUCGAGUGUUCUUACAUUAAAUGUUAAGUCCGUUAUUACAUUAAGCGUUGAAAAUUUGUUACAUUAAGCGUUAACUUCUUUAUUACAUAAAGCGUUGAUUUGUUGUUACAUUAAGCGUUAGUGUUACAUUAAGCGGCGAAUUUUGUUACAUAAAGCGUUAGUGUUACAUUAAGCGGCAGUUGUUACAUUAAGCGGUGAUACAGCUUGUUCCCAUAUCAAUAUUUGGGUGACCUUCAUACCCACUCGGCCGACCUCUUGGAGGCCUGGGUCUAAGGGCUUUUCAAGAUCAGUGAGAAAAAGAUUUGACCAAGCGAUCAAGUUUUUCUAACAAAUUUUGGCCGCAAGUCUCAAAUUGACAGGAAUCAGCAUAUUUUUUACCAUGUUUUCUGGAGAUCCGGGAGCGGGAAAACUUUAGCUCUUCUAAAUAUGGGCAUCAAUGCCCAUAUAAGGCAAUACAUACGAAGGACACUAUAUGUGGGGAAUAUGUGUGCACAGUCGGGGGGCGGCCACAAAUAACGCACGUUGGCCAUAGUUUUUUUGAAGGAAGGGAGGCUCUACAAGUCGUAAGUGGUCCUUACGACUUAAAUUUCUGUGGUACUCUUACUUAUGUAUUUUCUUAUUUUAGCGAUGUUUCGUAUGUGAUGGAAGGCUCCUUUAACAAUAGAAUUAACAUUGGCGAAAACGACAUCGUGUCAUCAAAAAUUAAACCGAGAUUGCGGGCCUGAUGAGAAGGUCUAAUGUUUUCAGUGCAAACAGAAAUCAUCGGGAGAGUCAUCCACAGAUUGAUGUCAGCAACACAACUUUCAAGAAGUUGCUUUGCAACCCCUAAGUCAGAAAUGUCAUUGCAGGCGAAGGUUGUAUAGAUCUGUGAAUCAUCGGCAUAAAAGUGGAACGACAGGCCAUGUUCACGAACAAUAUCCCCGAGAGGAGAUGUAUACAAUAAGUAAAGCACCGGGCCCAGAACCGAACGCUGGGGCACACCCCAGUCAAGAAGAUGAACUUUUGAUGUAGUUUUGCCUACUUUUACAAGCUGAGUAUGGUUUGUUAAGAAUGAUCGUAACCAGUCUAGGGCCUUUCCUUUGACACCAAACCUAGAGAAGAGCAUUCCGAGAAGAAUUUCGUGAUCAACUGUGUCAAAAGCUGCGGAAAGAUCCAGUAGCAAGAGCAAAACACCGCGAUGACUGUCGAUGGCUUUAAGGAUGUCAUCUUGCACUCGAAUCAGAGCUGUUUCACAGCUGUGAUUGGUUUUAUAAUCAGAUUGAAGUUCUUCGUUUAAUCCAUUGGAGCAUAAAUAUUCCCACAGCUGAGAAGCUGCAACUUUUUCUGCUGCCUUGGACACGAGCAUGAGGUUUGAUACCGGCCUGAAAUUAGGAAAGACCUCAUGUCCUCUUCAGAAACACUUAUAAACUUUGCUAUAUUAGAGUUAUAGUACGUGCCACCUCUCUUUAAUGAUAAGCAAUUGGUGAUUAGGGGCUGAGGGGUUGCCAGUUCUCCCCCCCACACUUUUCUAAGCAGAUGUUUCAAGCGGUACAUAUGCAACCAGAAACAAAUAUGUUGAACAGUUUAAAAUCCCGUGCAUAAACACUAGGCAUGUGUAGAUAGUACUAGUGAAUUUAGGAAAAGUUGCUUGAAAAUAUAGCCGAAAGUCGCUCUAAUGUUGCUAAUAUAUCC